AUGUGCUUCCUGACAAGUAUGCAGCACACAGAGCAAAUACACCUUUCCCACGAAAGCAUUUCUGGGAAAAUACUGGUGAUGGACCUCAGGUCUCCAGUACUCAGCAAAGGUGAGUCCAAGAUCAUCUGUGCUGUCAGCUUAGUUUGCUAUUUCACUCUUUCUCUUCCACCUAUCUGUGCAAUGACAGUUUUCAGAAAUGAGAAAGCUUUGACAAGUAAACUGCUGUUAGUAAGGGCAAUGAAAUAAUCUUGUGGUGUUAUGAUAAAGUAACACCCUAAAUUUAAAUAUAACCAUACUGUGUAUUUGUUCUGCAUUAAGCCAACUGGAAAAUAUGUUAUUUUUAUACUUAUAUUUUAUACAAUAUAUUAUUGAACUUUUUGACACUUCAAUUCUGUUUCCAACUGUAGUCAUAUUCCCAAUUUUUUACCUCUUCACCAGUAAUUGUUAAAAGUCAUUAUCCACUUUAAAAUGUGGUAUCCAACCUUUUUGAGUACAUGAGUUGCAUGACAAAUAUCAUUAAAUGUCCCCUGAAACAUACUGUGGGUCUGUCAAAAUCAAACACAGGGGGAGUACUGCAGUUGCAGUUCCAUUCAUGAGAUGCUACAAUAAAAUAAAUAAAGCCUAAUUGGGAGAUAAGUAU
rnacentral:lncRNA from 1 species